UCUGAACCAGGAAUGGUCUCCAGUUCCAGGUGCUCAGGGAAUCUUUUUUUCCAGUGUCCAGGCACUCUGCAGAGAAAUAAACACCAGAGGGAAAUGGCCAAGGUGCCUCCAAAUAGCUUUUUGACAUCAGGAAAUGGCAGAGAAUGGUACCAGCUUGUUAGUCCUCUGCUUGUUAGUCCUGUGCAGGACUUUUGCUUCUAUAGCCCUGACCCUAAACUACUCACUCGCCAUUUGCCAACCUGCUCCAAACCAGCCCUGGACACACACGGUUCUAUGCCUUACAGAGACUUGAAGCCUGAAAGCCUGGCCAAGUUUGGGAAGAAGAGGAGCCCUCUCAGGGCUCAAGAGCCUUCCCGCUUUUUGGAACACUUCCACAGUGGGUCAAGCUUGGCAAGAAUUCAGACCAAGUUAAACACACACACACACACACACACACACAUUGUGAGUGUGCUUAGAAUGUGACCCCAGCUCACCCUGUCUACAAGGCUUCUGCGCACUAGGUCAAGUAUCUCAACCAAGAGGAGGCUUGGGGUAGUUUGGUUUGGUUUGGUUUUUAAGCUUAGAACACACACAAAUCUGUCUCUUAGGUUUUUAAUGUCUUAUAAACUGAAGUUUAUUCUUAGCACAUUCCUCUUUAUACAACCAUAUCUCUCUGUACAGUUGUAAGUGAGUCUAAAUGCAUUUCCCUCUCCCCAACGCUGUGCCCCAGUAUAAGACAACAAUAUCUCUCUAACAGUAUCUUAAAUAAAUGCAAGGAGA
ensembl:antisense Gm29430 predicted gene 29430